rnacentral:rRNA from 1 species
UACGGAGGGUGCAAGCGUUAUCCGGAUUCACUGGGUUUAAAGGGUGCGUAGGCGGGCAGGUAAGUCAGUGGUGAAAUCCUAGAGCUUAACUCUAGAACUACCAUUGAUACUAUCUGUCUUGAAUAUUGUGGAGGUAAGCGGAAUAUGUCAUGUAGCGGUGAAAUGCUUAGAUAUGACAUAGAACACCUAUUGCGAAGGCAGCUUACUACGCAUAUAUUGACGCUGAGGCACGAAAGCGUGGGGAUCAAACAGG